AUGACGUCAGCCGCCGUGCUGUGACGUCACUUCCCCGCCCCCGCGCGUUCCCGCUCCCCCGCCCGCGAGAUGUUCCAUCUCAGCCUGACGGCUGGCAAAGCGCAAUUGCACAUCUGUCUUGUCGGGAAUUAGUUAAUUGAAUCAGCAGCCCGAGCUGCCGCAGCGACCUCGACUCUUACCCCCGGGAGGGGCUGGGCGGGGGAGGGGACGGGGGUCUCGCCUGGACUGGGGGCGGGGAACGGGGCUGUCUGAAUACAGGUCCAUGUCCACCCCCCGCGACGUGGCCAAGGCCUGGGACUGGGCGCCCUCCGGGAGAGGCUUGGCAAGGGGGGCGGGGCGGCUGCCCACCAGGGCGCUGGAACCCCCUCCCCAGCAGCGGGCUCCUCCCCAUGCCUCUCGCGGUGCAGCCCCUUCCCCUGAGCCAUAGCCUCCGCCCCCAGAUGCUGGGAAGGGUGAUUGGCUCCUGUCCCUGUCCCCUUCCCUCCACUAACCCCCGGGGGUGGGGGUGGCGCUCUGGCUCCGGUCCAGGCCCCGUCCCUGGCCCACGUCCCCCCUCCCUGUCCUCGGGGCUCCUCCGCGGUGGGUCCCUGGCCUCCCUCCAUCCUUGGGUCACCUCCUCCCUCUGCCCCCACCUUUCCUUCCCAGCCCACAGAGACAGCCCCGGAAAGAUGUGACGUCGCGGCCAGUCCUCAGCUGGAGACCCUGGGCCUAACUCGACCUCUCUGAACCCCGGCCUCCACACCUGACCCCGGAAGUACAAAAAGUCCUGCCACAGCGGGUACAGUUAAGGGUAGGGCAUCAGAGUCUGCCACCACCACGCUGUAAUCUCACCCCAGAGCUGCCACGGUGGGGGACUGCUCCACAAAGAUGCCCACUUAAAGGGUAGCCACUGUGGCCAUCCGAAGGAGGGGCCAGGAUGGAGUUCUUGAUGGGGGGGGCUCCUGCACCCCAGGGCUCCCAUCUGAACCCGGGGUUCACUCCCUGGCCGUCAUGACCACACUGUUGCAUGGUCUUCAGAGUUCCAUGGUUUGUCAGUCCUGCAUCCUUAUCCUUGAACAGUCUCAUUCCCAUUUCACAGAUGGGAAAGUGGAGGUCCAGAGAGGUCCAGUGACUUGCCAAAGACCUCACUCACAGUGAUGACAUUGCAGAGCUCGGAUGUGAACCCAACUGCUCCGGCCUCCAUGUCAGCCCAUCUCCACUAUGACAAGACACCAAGCUGUGCCAGACACCUAGACUCCCCCAGCUGUGCGACCUCGGAAAAGUGGCUUAGCCUCUCAGAGCUCCGGCACACCGGGGCCAGGACUGGUACCUACCUCGCGGGCUUCCUGUAAGAACUGAAUAAGUGAGCGCAGGGCCGGCAGGCUAAGCCCACCCAUGGUGUCAGCUGUUCACAGUGUGCUGGUUCCUGCACAGGCCUGCGAAUCCUAACUCUGCUGGUCCAGCUGUCGGCUUCUCCAUGCCUCAGUUUCUUCAUCUGCAAAAUGGGCCUGCAGUGGGGUUCAGCAGAGCAUGGAUGCACUUCAUCAAGCCCACGGAGGCUGGCUCAGAUACCCCAGCCCUCUGCUCCGAGGCCCUCCCUGACUGUCCUGCACACGUGGGAGCCCCCAGAGAGAUGCUCAGGUACAGCCAUGAGGUGAGGGGAGCCCCAAAUCCCAACCCUAGGAUGGACAGUGGGGGCCCAGCUGCCUCCACCACCUGCCCCUCCUCCAGCACCAUUCGGCUUCCUGGGUGCUGCCCACACUUGGCUUGUUGCUCUGUUGUCACCGUGAAAUUCUGAGUAACUGGGGCUGGCUCUUGGUAGAGCGGUUAGGAUGCGCCCAUCUCAUAUGGGAGUGCCUGGGUUCGAGCCCCAGCUCCACUUCCACCUCCAGCCUCCUGCUUGUCUGCACCCUGGGAGGCAGCAGGUGCUGGCUCAAAUCCUUGACCCCUGCCACCAUGUGGGGGACUCAGACCAAGCUCCAGGCUCCUCCUGGCCCUGACCUGGCCCGGCGCUGGCUGUUGCAGGUAUUUGGGAAGUGAACCGGCAAAUCUCUGCCUGUCUGCCUCUGUCUUUCAAAUAAAUAGGAAAUAGCAAAGAAAUUCUUAAUUUUUGAAUAAAGGGGUCCUAAAAACCAUGGAACCGAUGGCACACGCGAGCCAAGCU